AUGGAGGGACAAGACCGGAAUGUUUUGGGAGCCUCCACAAUGGUUUUCAAGUGUCUUGUUGAUCCUACGAGCUUAGAGGCACAAGCCAAUAAUGAGGCACUUGGAGUGGCGCCAGACCUUAAUUUACGCAGAUUGGUGAUUGCCUUAGACUACAUCGAUGUUAUAAUGAAAAUCAAGAAGGGAGGGGUGGCUUCCUAUGCGAAGGUGCUGACAGAGAUCAAUCAUAGAAGAAAGGAGUUUGAUGGUGUUUGCUUCACUUGGAGAGCAAUUUUGAAGCUCACGCAUUGGCAAAGGCGACCUCUAAUAGCUUUUGGUCGCCACUUGUGGCUAGGAUAUGCAUCGAAUAUAGUUUGUAUUUCAGACAUUAUUAACCUUGAAUAA
rnacentral:rRNA from 1 species